rnacentral:rRNA from 1 species
AACGAACGCUGGCGGCAGGCUUAACACAUGCAAGUCGAACGCCCCGCAAGGGGAGUGGCAGACGGGUGAGUAACGCGUGGGAAUCUACCCAGUUCUACGGAACAACUGAGGGAAACUUCAGCUACUACCGCAUACGCCCUACGGGGGAAAGAUAUAUCGUAAUUGGAUGAGCCCGCGUAAGAUUAGCUAGUUGGUGGGGUAAAGGCCUACCAAGGCGACGAUCUUUAGCUGGUCUGAGAGGAUGAUCAGCCACACUGGGACUGAGACACGGCCCAGACUCCUACGGGAGGCAGCAGUGGGGAAUAUUGGACAAUGGGCGCAAGCCUGAUCCAGCCAUGCCGCGUGAGUGAUGAAGGCCUUAGGGUUGUAAAGCUCUUUCAGUGGGGACGAUAAUGACGGUACCCACAGAAGAAGCCCCGGCUAACUUCGUGCCAGCCGCCGCCGUAA